rnacentral:rRNA from 1 species
UAAUACGUAGGGAGCAAGCGUUGUUCGGAAUUAUUGGGCGUAAAGAGCGCGUAGGCGGUUCGGUAAGUCUGACGUGAAAUCCCGGAGCUUAACUCCGGAACUGCGUUGGAUACUGCCGGGCUUGAGUGUGGGAGAGGAGAGUGGAAUUCCCAGUGUAGAGGUGAAAUUCGUAGAUAUUGGGAGGAACACCCGUGGCGAAGGCGGCUCUCUGGACCACAACUGACGCUGAGGCGCGAAAGCUAGGGGAGCAAACGGGAUUAGAUACCCCGGUAGUCCUAGCCGUAAACGAUGGGCACUAGGUGUUGGAGGUAUCGACCCCUCCAGUGCCGCAGCUAACGCAUUAAGUGCCCCGCCUGGGGAGUACGGUCGCAAGACUAAAACUUAAAUGAAUUGACGG